rnacentral:lncRNA from 1 species
CCAGCAGUCCCGAGAGGACCCGCAGACCCUCUGAAGGAAGUGGGCUGCUCCUGCAGGACCCGGGAGACCCCCGCAAAAGUCUGAAUGCAACAGCCCCUGGUUUCCUGCUCUGUGAGGAAUGGCUAGACCACAUCUCCUGCUGGUGACAAGUGUCAGAAGUAUUGAUUCUGCAACAAACUGAGAAGAAACCUGGCGAUUCACAACAGAGAGCUGAGAAAUCCUAAGUCUGGAUUCCAGCUAAAUGGGAGCAGACUAAAUAGAGCGGCAGUCGGCGAACUACAUGUAGCCCAUGAACAAAAUCCGGUCCAGCACGUGUGUUUUUUUUUACGGCCCACAAAUGAGUCUGUCUUUACAGAUGAAUGUUAAAACUGGGUUGACAAGAGAGAACACUCACUUUGAACCGCAACUAAACAAAAUAUUAUCACCUUUCCCCUCAAAAAAGGUUUUUGUUCUUCUCAUUAGUAAAUUUGUAUUAUGACAAA